AGAGUUUGAUCCUGGCUCAGAACGAACGUUGGCGGCGUGGAUUAGGCAUGCAAGUCGAGCGAGGACACGUUAGGUAGCAAUACCCAGCGUGAGUCGAGCGGCGUAAGGGGCAGUAAUACCUGGGGACGUACCCCUCAGUCGGGAAUAGCCGCGGGAAACCGCGGGUAAUGCCCGAUAACACUGAGAAGUCAAAGGCUUGCCGCUGAGGGAGCGGCCCAGGCGCUAUUAGCUGGUUGGUGGGGUAACGGCCUACCAAGGCGAAGACGGCUAGCGGGUGUGAGAGCACGACCCGCGCCACUGGCACUGAGACACUGGCCAGACACCUACGGGUGGCUGCAGUCGAGGAUCUUCGGCAAUGAGCGCAAGCUUGACCGAGCGACGCCGCGUGCGGGAUGAAGGCCUUCGGGUUGUAAACCGCUUUGGUCCGGAAGUAAGGUAGGAGCAAUCCUGCUUGAACGACCGGAGAAACAAGCACGGGCUAAGUUCGUGCCAGCCGCCGCGGUAAUAC
rnacentral:rRNA from 1 species